rnacentral:lncRNA from 1 species
GGUGCCGGUGGAAAAUGCUGAUGUGGCUGUGCAUGUUGUUGUUGAAGUAACUGUUGUUGUGUCUGAACUACUCCGAUCAGAGUUUGUAUUAGUUGAGUCAUGUUCGGCUCCUAUGCUGUCGGAGUAUUUCUGGUAGGAUCAUGGAUUCCCUCCUGCUGAGUUGUACCGCUGUUUAAUUGGGGAGUAUUAUCGCCAAGUGGAUUUGAUGUCCCUCCUACCAUUCCUUGAGUAUUCCUCUCUCGUCGUGGAGGCAUAUUGACCUAUGUUAGAUUUGAGAUAAUAACUUAUCCUUAAUAAGGUUAUAUCUUGUGACAAGUCAAAUCAUAAUUAUCAUAACUUAACCUUUCAAUUUUCUAAUGUCUACCCAUCACUCACUUUAUUCUACAUGUCUCUAUCUAUCUACUUAUGCUCUGAUACCAUAUUAAUUGUCACGCCCCCGACCCGAGAUUUGAAUCGAGGGUCAUGGCAAUCGCCGCAUACUUAUAGAAUACUUUUUUCAUAAGCAUGCAAGG